GACGAACGCUGGCGGCGUGCUUAACACAUGCAAGUCGAACGGAAAGGCCCUGCUUUUGUGGGGUGCUCGAGUGGCGAACGGGUGAGUAACACGUGAGUAACCUGCCCUUGACUUUGGGAUAACUUCAGGAAACUGGGGCUAAUACCGGAUAGGAGCUCCUGCUGCAUGGUGGGGGUUGGAAAGUUUCGGCGGUUGGGGAUGGACUCGCGGCUUAUCAGCUUGUUGGUGGGGUAGUGGCUUACCAAGGCUUUGACGGGUAGCCGGCCUGAGAGGGUGACCGGCCACAUUGGGACUGAGAUACGGCCCAGACUCCUACGGGAGGCAGCAGUGGGGAACAUUGCACAAUGGGCGGAAGCCUGAUGCAGCAACGCCGCGUGCGGGAUGACGGCCUUCGGGUUGUAAACCGCUUUCGCCUGUGACGAAGCGUGAGUGACGGUAAUGGGCAAAGAAGCACCGGCUAACUACGUG
rnacentral:rRNA from 1 species